UGACGAGAUUUCAGGGCAGAGUUGCCAGUCCACGCGCUGUGCUUUUACACCCUGGCGAUCCAGGGGGAGAGCAACCAGGCAAGCAUCAGGCCAGACGCUGUGAGUUUCUGCUGAGAGCCCAGCCGCACGCUGACAGGGGUGAAAACUGCAGAAGCCAUGCCCCACACAGAGUGAGUGACCUUUGUGGCUGCAUGGUCAAUUGGUCAGACCCUGGAAUGGAUGGAAACUUGCUGUGUGGCCUUCUGGAAAGCAGGAGCCAAUUGCAUCACAAAGAAGAGGAAAUGCACCCCAAGAGGUCCUCAAGUCUACCAGGCACAGACAGCUUUCAACAAAAACUUUAUCAGCGCGGCCUUGGCCAUGGUAGCCUGCAGUCUGCAAAGGAGCCAGGAGCGGGAGCGGUGCUGAGCACCACCCUGCCUGGCUUCUGGUGGAACUCCCUCUCCCCCUUGUGUUCUGCAUGGGUGCUUACAACAGCUACUGGUCUUGCUAACCAGUCCUCAGCACACCUUGCUUAUUUAAAAAAAAUUUCAUUUAAGGAAUACAAGCUGCAUGCAUUUCACGUAUACAAAUUGGGGAACAUGGUAAUUCUUCCCACCCUACCUCCCUCCCACUCUUCCUCCUCCUGCUCCUAUUCCCAUUCUUAUUUUUCACAAAGAUCUAUUUCCGGUUACCUUAUACUCAUAAUAUUAACCGUACACUAAGUAGCACAACUUGCUGAUUAUACAACUCAUCAGUCCCCUCUAGCCCACCCACUUGCUUCCUCCUGUUGGGCACCCCCCUCCGCUCCCCUCUAAUCGUGUAAAGUGUGUGAGUGUGCCCAGAUCAGAGCCCACUGCAUGUGUGCGCCUGUUUGCAUUUGAUGACUUUUCCGUAGGUCCUGAACAAGUAGUUCUGUAUUUGUUGAAAUUCAGUUUACAUAGUCCGUAACUUUCAUAAAAUCAAAUGGGGUAAAAUAAUGAGGGGGUGGCAUUUGGCCUAGCUGUUAAGGUGCCAAUCAGGAUGCCUGCCUUCUACAUCAGAGUGUCUGGGUUCAACACCUGGCUUCACCUGGUUUAACACAGACUCUUGGAGACAGUGGUGAGGGCUCAAGAAAUUGGAUUAUUUUUUAGAGAUUGAUUUAUUUAUUUGAACGUCAGAGCUACACAGAGAAGAAGAGGUAAAGAGAGAGAGAGAGAGAGAGAGAGAGGUCUUCCAUCCACAGGUUCACUCCCUAAUUGGCUGCAACGGCCGGAGCUGCUCCAGGAGCCAGGAGCUUCCUCCAGAUCUCCCACCUGGGCCAUCUUCCACUGCUUUCCCAGGCCAUAGCAGAGAGCUGGACCAGAAGUGGAGCAGGCAGGACUCAAACUGUCGCCCAUAUGGGAUGCUGGCACUGCAGGCAGCAGCUACACCCUCCAUGCCACAACGCUGGCUCCAAAUAAUUGGAUUCUUGAGCUAGACUGAGCUCCCUGCUCCCACUUCAGCCCCUGGCCAUUGAGGGCAUUUGGGGUAGUGAACCAGCAAACGGAAUAUCUUUCAUUCUCAUGUAAGUAAGUACAUAAAUAAAUAAAUGUUUUAAAAGUAAUGAAACAUGAAUGAGGGAGAGGAAGAUGGGAUGAGGGAGAAAUGUGGCUAUGGUCAUGUUUUCCAUGCAUCAACAUACAUUCUGUUGCCAGUUCAUUACCUAUGUUUCAGUGUGUAGACCCUCCUCCAUGUGGAUAUGUUGUCUACAUGCCGCCUAAAGAAUGGUAGGCACUGUAAGGGGAUACACAAGAAAUCCCUUCUCUCCUGGGACCCUUCGUCCCAGGGGUGAGCCAGUAGUAAGUUCUUACAUCCAAGUCACACGCAGUGUGGAGCUUUGUUGCUUUAAUUUCCAUGAGCAAAAGAGGGGACAGAUUCUCCACAUUGUGUAAGAGGAAACUGAGGCCUCGAGAGUUAGGGGUCCUCAGAAUAUCUGUGGAACUGAGGCUUGCAUCCUGGUUUCCUGACUCUGAGUUUUUCUUCCGCCAUUACUCACAUCCAGCCCUGCUGCGGAGCUAUGACAGUGCAGCAGUGUGGGGAUGCCACAGUGCCUGGGCGUGAUGAGGAGGCUGGACCCUGGGGAAGGAGAAAUCAGUGAGGGUUGCAGAGAGCAGAGAGUGGCCGGCAAGGGGAGGGGACGGGACCGGAACCUCCAGGAGUCCUCAGCACUCGGUGAGUGGGCUAUAAUGGAGCUUCCUUCAGCCCCUGAGUGUCCUUCUGUUAGGUAAAGGGCCACAAAAAGGAACCAGAGUCUGAGUUUUCAAGAGCUUG